AAAGGGGAGCGGGGGGCGGAUUGCGGCCUAGUUAUGGCGCGGGCUAGGCCCAUAGGGGAGCUAUAGAGGGAGAGACCACCAGAACCGAUAAUGAGACCCCAGCCCAUAAUGAGAGACCCCAGACCUUAAUGAGAGACCCCAGCCCAUAAUGAGAGACCCCAGACCUUAAUGAGAGACCCCAGACCUUAAUGAGACCCCCCAGACCUUAAUGAGAGACCCCCAGACCUUAAUGAGACCCCAGACCUUAAUGGAGCAGACCCUCAGACCUUAAUGGAGACCCCAGAACGCAUAAUGAGAAGACCCCCAAGACCUUAAUGAAGAGACCCCAGACCCUUAAUGAGGACCCAGACCUUAAUGAGAGACCGCCAGACCUUAAUGAGCAGACCCCAGGACCAUAAUGAGAGACCCCAGACCGUAAUGAGAGACCCCAGACCUUAAUGAGACCCCAGACCUUAAUGAGAGACCCCAGACCUUAAUGAGAGACCCCAGACCAUAAUAUGAGACCCCAGCCCAUAAUGAGACCCCAGCCCAUAAUGAGAGACCCCAACCUUAAUGAAGCACCCCAGCCCACAAUGAGAGAACGCCAGACCUUAAUGAGAGAACC
rnacentral:lncRNA from 1 species